AGCAGCCGCGGUAAUUCCAGCUCCAAUAGCGUAUAUUAAAGUUGUUGCAGUUAAAAAGCUCGUAGUUGAAUUUCGGGACCAAUUUGUUGGUCGUGCCCUCGGUACGUACUGGUAUUAUUGGUUUCUCCCUUCUGAAGAACCUCGAUGUCAUUAAUUUGGUGUCGUGGGGAAUCAGGACUGUUACUUUGAAAAAAUUGAGUGUUUAAAGCAGACAUACGCUUGAAUACAUUAGCAUGGAAUAAUGAAAUAGGACGUUUGAUUCUAUUUUGUUGGUUUCUAGGAUCGACGUAAUGAUUAAUAGGGAUAGUUGGGGCAUUAGUAUUCAAUUGUCAGAGGUGAAAUUCUUGGAUUUAUUGAAGACUAACUACUGCGAAAGCAUUUGCCAAGGAUG
rnacentral:rRNA from 1 species